UCAGGCUUAGAGAAGAUUUUGCAGGGCUUCCUUCACUUGAAGAGGUGGGGGAGUCAAAUGAAGAUUAUGCAGACUCAGCUGCUGGAGUUGAUGGUUCAUCAUAUACCGCAGAUAUUUUAUAUGCUGAAAAGAAUGACAUUUCCUACACCCGUGAAAUUGAUAACUUUAAUAGAAUAAUAUCCGGUGAUGUAGGUGAGUUUUCCCUUGAUCACAGUCAGAGCCCUAGACCUCAGAAAGAGGACCAGCAUGGGAGUCGGCUUUCUACACAAGGGAGCAAUGAUUGGACACAUGGGUGGAGUUCAGACUACUCUAUUGAUAAUGAUCUAGCUACAGCUUAUGAAGAAAAUAAUAGACUCAGAGUAAGAUUGGAGGUAGCUGAGUCAGCUUUUCUACAGCUGAAAAUGGAGGCAACAUCGCUACAAACACAUGACUGAUGAAUUAGGUGCUGAAACACACAACUUGGCCCAGCAGCUUGCAGUUGAGCUUGCUUCGGGAGAACAACUGACUAGAGAAGUUUUGAUAUUAAAAUUGGAGUGUUCAAAGCUUAAAAAUGACCUUGAAGAAAUAAAAUCUGUUAGAGUCAAGCAGCAAAUUCCUGAAAGGAGAAGUCAUUUUCCUCUAAAGAUGACAUAUGACUUGGUAGAUACUUCAUUUGAUGACAAGCUUGGGGAUAAUGUUCUUUCUGCGGAUCAGGACUGCAUGUUUCAUAAUUUGCAGGUCCAAUGGCUCCAGGAUAUGUUGAUUAUUGAGGGCAAAGUUCGAGAAAUUCAAAACAAGGCUUGCCUCGGAUACUGUGGAAGUGAUUUUGAUCUUCAUGGUGAUUUUGAGGUUCUUGAAUGUGUUCUCCAUAAUCUUAAGCAAAGUAUUCUUAAAGGACUGGGUUUGGAAAGAUCUUGCAGUGACUUUCAUUAUCCAGAAGUUAUGGUUCAUGGUAUUAGUGUUUCUCACCAAGUAUUUCACGAGCAUGAGCCUCUCAGGAACAAUCCAGCUGCUGCAAACAAGAUGGAGGAGAAAAUGAGUGAACUCUUACAGAAACUGGAGGACUCCAAAACUGAGAAGGAAAAUCUCACCAAAAAAAUGGACCAGAUGGGUUGCUACUAUGAAGCAUUUAUUCAGGAACUUGAGGUUAAUCACAAUCAAGCACUUAAGGAGUUGGAAAGCCUUAGAAAUGAACAUUCUUCUUGUCUUUAUACAAUCUCUAUUCUCCGAGGUCGGAUUGGAGAAAUGAAUGAACAGUUGAUGAGGUUUGCUGAACAUGAGAAUAGCUUAGAAUCUCAUAGCAAGGAGCUUGAGAGAAGGGCUAUUGCUUCAGAAACUGCACUGAAAAGGGUCCGUCAGAACUACUCUGUGGCAGUUGAUCGUCUACAGAAAGACCUUGAAUUACUCUCUUCCCAGGUUUUGUCCAUGUAUGAGACAAAUGAAAACCUUGCAAAGCAAGCUUUCAGAGAUGCUCCCCAACUCUUUUACAAGCAUUACCCUGAAGAAAAUUCAGAAGAGGCACGCUCAUGCACGAACAAGGAUCAUGUCUUGACUUCAUUUCAUCAAGAACAGUGCAAGCCAGUUUUUCCUAGAAUGCAGGCAGAAACUGGUUCUACAAAAGCCGACCUUGAAUCAUCUCAAAUGCACAAUGGUGCAUCAGAGCAUAUCAUUUACAAAAUAGAGAGCGAAGUCUCUCAGAGAGGCAUGCCCACAAAUGUCGAAGUGCAACCCAAGGAUGAAGCAUAUGUAAAUGGAUUUGCAUCAGAGAAUUUUGGGCAUGAUACUUCAGAACAUGAUAUUAUUCAGGUGAAGAAAGAUCUUGUAUUUUGCAGCGAUCUAUCUCCAGAGACUAAGAGAAACAAAGAACUUCCUGAAAGAUCCAUCUGUCAAAAGUCUAAGCAUGAUUCUCAACUAUCUGAUGAUGCUGAACCAGUUCAGACUUGUAGUGAAACAGGUGACAACCAAUUGGAUGAUUCAAAUGACCUAGAAAAGAUGGGACCAUCAAUUCAUAAGCUUAAAGACCUCCUCUUAGAAACAGAAGUUGAACUCUUGGAAAUGCAUAUGCAUAACAUGCAUUGGAAAGUUUUCUCAGAUGUUUUACAGGAAACUCUUUGUGAUGUAUAUGAUGGGAUUAGGCACUUGAAGGACAAGAUGGUCGAACUUGUACAGCAACUAGAACAUUCGACUGCUAUGAAUGAAUCCUUGAUGCUAAAGUUGGCAAAUGCCUUAAAUGAUGCCAGAAUAGCGAGGGAGGAUGAAGCUAAAUGUGUCUGUAAAUGUAAUGAUCUGUCAAUGAAAAAUCAAAUCUUGGAAGCAAAAUUGGAAGAUGUCUCAGAAGAGCUUCUUGCUCAAAAAAUUGCAGAGAAUGAAAAAUUGAUUCUGGAGUACAGAGCUUAUGAAAGUAAAUCUAAGGCUUUUGCUGAAGAAAGGAAGAAAUUUCAAAACUUGCUAAAAGAGGAAAGCCUGCAAAAAAGCAGUCUUCAGAGUGCAAUUAGCUCUAUGAUUGAUGACUUUAAAGCAUUGAAGGAAGCAUUUGAUCAGCAGUCCUCUGCAAAUGUUGAUCUGCAGAAAACUGUUACUUAUCUUCAAGAGAAAUUGGCGAAUUUAGUCACAAAUUUGAUUCAUUGCAAUGAGAAAAUCAGUGGCUCAGCUUUUGAUGGCAUAACUCUACAACAAGAUUUGGAAAACAAGAAUUACUUUGCUGUCUUCAUAUGCUUUGAACAGUUCCAGAAAGAAGCAUGUGAGAAAAUACUCCAGUUUCUUCAGGAGAAGAAAGAGAUGGAAGAACAAAGAGAUAUUGCUAAACUUUCACUGCACAAGACGGAAUCACAAAUGCUUCAAAUGAAGCAGAUGUUUGAAUCUGACUUAGAAGAGAUAACAAAGAAGCUAGAUUUUUCCAACACACUUGUAGAGAAGCUUCAGCCCGAAUUGCAAAAUGUUGCAGAGAAGCUAAAGAUUAGCUCAGAAGCAGAAGAAAAAAAUGCAUCAAAAAAUAGAGAGUUGUCCUCAAAACUUGCAGUUCUGGAAAUUGAACUACAACAUGCUACUGAUGAGAACAGGGAUCUUGCUCAGCAGCAGCUGCUGGUAUUUGGGAGUGUCAACGGGGAACUUCAAAGGACUAAAAUCAGUCUUAUGGAUUGCAUGCAGGAAAAAAGAGCAUUGAUGAUGUCUAUACAGUCUGGAAAUGAGGCAUCCACCCAGAUAGAAAAUGAGCUUAGAAGUCUAAAAGAAACCUUGCAAUGUACUCAUCAAGAUCUGCAGAUUGAAAGAGGAUUGAGAGAGGAAUUUGAGGUCGCAGUUACAAAUCUUACGUCGCAACUGAUGGAGAAAGAUCAACAGUUGCUAUCUUUUGAAGAACAAAAAUCUGAAUUGGGCCAUCUCAGGAAAAGGGUUUCAGAUAUAGAAACAACAAAUGUUGGAUUGCAGCAUCUUCUGUUGCAGAAUGAAGAAAACCAAAGAAAAGUAGAGGAUGAGAAUUUGUUUCUUCACCUUAAAGUUUCCGACGCGGAAAAUCACUUGGAAGCUAUGCUUGAAAACUCAUUAGCUGCUGAACUUAAAGUUACAUAUAUGAGAAGUCAAUUCCACACCAGGAUGCAGGAUCUUGUUGGCCACCUCAAGGCAUUGGAGAGGGACCGUCAAGAGCUUCAUUUAAAGCAUACAGAUGCUAAAGUCUUGCUUGAAAGACAUAUAGCUAGUAAAGCACAAUUAGCUGAUGAAAAUGCAAGACUAUCAGCAGCUCUGCAGUCAUUGAAAUCUGAAUUUGCAACUAUAGUUUGUGAAAAAGAAGGCCUUGUGGAUUACAUAAACAAAUACAGGGCAAUAUGUACUGAAGAUGCAGAUAAGAAGGCUAGAGCGGCAACUAUGGAAGUUGAGAAUCUAGAAAGGCAAAAGUACAAAGAUGAAAUUUGGCAGCUGAAAAAUAUGCUGGUCAAUUUUGAAGAAGAGAUGGAUGAUUUGAAAUUCUCUAGAUGCGAGCUAGAAAUUAUGGAUAUAAUACUCAGAUCCAAAUGGGAUGAACAGCAAAGUCGAAUAUCAUUGCUUGAGGAAUUUGUUCAUGAGUUGGGGAAGUUGAGAGAGCAAAACAAUGAGUGUAGUUACAAACUCUCUGAACAAAUUUUGAAGACAGAAGAAUUUAAGAACCUUUCUAUCCAUCUUAGAGAACUCAAAGAUGAAGCAGAUCCUGAGUGUCAUCAAGCUCGUGAAAAAAGAGAGACAGAGGGAUCAACAUUUGCCAUUCAAGAAUCACUGAGAAUUGCUUUUAUCAAGGAGCAAUAUGAAUCUAAGCUUCAAGAGCUAAGAAAUCAACUGUACAUCUCUAAAAAAUAUGCAGAAGAAAUGCUAUUGAAAUUGGAAAAUGCUCUUAAUGAAGUUGAAAACAGAAAGAAAAAUGAGUUUGCCCUUGCAAAGAGAAUUGAAGAGCUGUCAAAGAAAAUCUUGGACUUGGAGACUGAGCUACAGACAGUUCUGACAGAUAGAAAAGAAUUAGACAAAACUUAUGACAGAAUGAAGGCUGAACUGGAGUGUACUAUGUUAACUCUCGACUGCUGCAAGGAAAAAAAGCUUAAGCUUGAAGCUUCCUUGCAAGAGUGCAAUGAGGAAAGGACAAAAAUCAGAAUUGAACUCGGCUUGGUGAAACAAUUUUUAGAGAAUAUGACAUCAACAGAAGAUUUCCAGACACUAGGAGACCAUAAAUCUGUUAUUCCCAAUGUUGCAUCAAUUGGGCAACUUUUGGGAGAUAGCAGUUCUGGUUCUGGUUUAUCAGCUGUCUACCAAGAGACACAAAAUUCAAUAGGUAUCUGUUCUGGAAAAGAUACUGCAACUGCCGCUACUAUGGAUCCAUUAUAUAAUGUAGACAGAGACAAACUCCUGACCAUGGGUUGCAUGUUGAGCUCAUGCGGAGAUUUGGAAGAUGUACAACCAACAUGCAUCAAUGAAAACUUACAUCUGACUCAUCAAUUAAUCUCACAGUCCUUGCAGGAUUCCAAAAGUGCACUUGAACCAGAGGCUGUGUUGAAGAAUCAUAUGGAAGACAUUGCUGGUUUCGAGGAGCAUGUCAAAGAACAGCAAAGAUUGAAGGCAGGCAUCGGCCUCCUUCAAAAAGAGGUAUCCUGAUGUCUAAGAGUUCAUUAAAUAAUUAACCAUCCAAUUAUGAUGCAUAGCAUCAUUUGUGGUAGAAGCCCCUUCGCAACAUGCUCUUGUUAAAUCUGCAUCAUCAAGAUCCCACAUGGAGAACAUCUCUGGAAAUUUCUAAUGAAGUCCUGUUUAUCCCCAUAAAGUAACAUGUCAAACUGCAAGAAGUAUCUUCUUUUCUGAUUCCUUUUUUCUAUGUUUCUACUAAAUUAUUGAAGUGAAUUUCUUCCAUAAGCAGACUCCUAAUGGAUGUCAGACUGCAAGCCCAGAGGGGUUCGGAGCUAAAAGUGGGGGCAAAUGUAUUUACAUGAAUGCUGGAAAAUCUGAAGAAUGAGAAUUUGUCUUCUUUUCUUCCACUAGAAGAUCAUCAUUUUGAUCCAUCCCUUCAGUGUUUACGAAGUGAAUUAUCACAGCUAGAGAUGGCAAAUGAACAUUUGGGAGGCAUUUUCCCUUCAUUUAAAGAACUUCCUGGCAGUGGCAAUGCAUUGGAGAGGGUUCUUGCAUUGGAAAUUGAGCUUGCAGAAGAAUUGCAAUUAAAGGAAAAAUCAGACAUUCGCUUUCAGAGCUCAUUCUUGAAGCAACAAAAUGAUAAAGCAGCAAUAUGCCAGAGCUUCAGAGACAUCAAUGAACUAAUACAUGACAUGCUUGAGUUGAAGCAGAGGCAUGUUGCUGUAGAAACUGAGCUGAAAGAAAUGCAGGGGUCGAUACUCGCAGCUUAGCCUGCAGUUUGCUGAGUUAGAGGGAGAGAGACAGGAGCUUAUAAUGACACUCAAAAACAGAGUACCUAAGAAAUCAUAACCCUCUAUUGGUUCGCAAGUGCCAGGGUGGACCAAGCAGUGGCAGCCAAUAUGUCACUAAGAGUCACUACCCUUUUCGGGAAGAGAGAAUAUGACAACUAGAACAGCCUCCAUCUUUGUAUGGGGAUCAGGGCAGCAGUGAAGCAGGAGAUAUAUAUGUAUAUAUUUGAGUAUAAGCUUGGUUUUGAAGCAUCAAGGGCAGAGCUUUUUCUUGGGUUGUGAAUAAGAUAAGCUGCUGCAUGUCUCAGUUGUGUCCAAAUGUGAUGAUUAAUAUGUUCCAACAAAAGCAUACGACUGAUAUAUGAUUCAUUUCUUGUAUACCUCAUGUAAUUUCUUGUAUUUUAUAGCACAUAUAGAAAUUCAUUAUUGAUCUUGUAGCAAGUAAAGGAUCUGCAGUUUAAUUUGCUUAAAAAUGUCAUGACUGGUGCUUGCAGUACUGCAAGGACUUUCUGUUA